UACGAAGGGGGCUAGCGUUGCUCGGAAUCACUGGGCGUAAAGCGCACGUAGGCGGACGAUUAAGUCAGAGGUGAAAGCCUGGAGCUCAACUCCAGAACUGCCUUUGAUACUGGUUGUCUUGAGUUCGGAAGAGGUUGGUGGAACUGCGAGUGUAGAGGUGAAAUUCGUAGAUAUUCGCAAGAACACCGGUGGCGAAGGCGGCCAACUGGUCCGAUACUGACGCUGAGGUGCGAAAGCGUGGGGAUCAAACAGG
rnacentral:rRNA from 1 species